rnacentral:misc_RNA from 1 species
AACGCACGAGACCUGCGGACCUGCGGAGGGAUCAUUGCUGGAACGCGCCCCAGGCGCACCCAGAAACCCUUUGUGAACUUAUACCUUACUGUUGCCUCGGCGCAUGCCGGCCCCCAGGGGCCCCUCGGAGACGAGGAGCAGGCACGCCGGCGGCCAACCUAACUCUUGUUUUUACACUGAAACUCUGAGAAAAAAAACAAAAUGAAUCAAAACUUUUAACAACGGAUCUCUAGAUCGGAA